rnacentral:lncRNA from 1 species
CUGCCGCACCCGCGGAUCGCCGCGCGGCGCGGGAGCCCGGGGUUGCCGGACUCGCGUGCGCGGGGGCAGCGUCCCCGCGCCGGCCGGAGGGAGGCGCGCCCCCGCCGCGCCGCUCGGGCUCCAGCGCCGCUGCCACCUGACUCCCCCUGUCUCCCGCGGAAGCGCGCCUCUCUCCUGACCCACACCCAACACGGGGAGAAAUGCUGCUGCUCUCGCUCAGCUGCCGCUUCUCGGGAGUUCAAUGUGAUCGUUUCUCAAAAUGGAACUGAAAAGUUGAGAGUUCCUUCUUUCUUGCCCCUCUGUACUGUGCAGAAAAACGUAUGUGCGCCUCCCCGUCUGCAGAAUGGGAAUAAUGACCGAAUAAAAGAGCUAUGAAAAUAAACAUGGGUAGUGGGAGAGU